rnacentral:rRNA from 1 species
UACGGAGGGUGCGAGCCGUUGUCCGGAAUCACUGGGCGUAAAGCGCACGUAGGCGGCUUCUUAAGUCAGGGGUGAAAUCCUGGAGCUCAACUCCAGAACUGCCUUUGAUACUGAGGAGCUUGAGUCCGGGAGAGGUGAGUGGAACUGCGAGUGUAGCGGUGAAAUGCGCAGAUAUCGGGAGGAACACCAGUAGCGAAGGCGGCUCGCUGGGCCGUUCCUGACGCUGAGACGCGAAAGCUAGGGGAGCGAACAGG